GAACAUAUCCAAAGCUACGUCUAACACAUGGCCGGAAGGUCUUAGAGAUCCGUCCUGUUAUUGACUGGGACAAAGGGAAAGCUGUGACAUUUCUACUCGAAUCUCUCGGCCUAAACAACUGUGAUGAUGUUCUUCCAAUCUAUGUUGGGGAUGAUCGAACAGAUGAAGAU